AUGGAGCUCGCGCCAUUGAAAUCAUGGACGGGAAGGUGUGAGAAUAUUGGGGAAGAUGGCGAGAAGACUGCGGGGAGUUUGCCGGCGAGAGGAAAGGAGAUACUGUAUUUGUCUAGGUAUUGGAUAUAUAUAAACACAAAUGGGUGGCGGCGGCCUGAGCUAUUCCAUCGUCGCUUCAUCCUCCGGCCACUAGAAGGUAAAGAUUCAACUGCUCCACACCGCCCGUACUUCUUCCUCCUCACCAUCUCUCCGCGCGUGAAUGAUUUGAGGUUAGGUAUCUUCUCCCUGUUGUUUUGA
rnacentral:rRNA from 1 species